rnacentral:rRNA from 1 species
UGUCUGAAAGGUGAAAGUACCUUGAGUCGUCAGACAAGAGGAUAUGCAUCCAAGUAUGUUUCCGAGAAAAACUUCUAAGCUUCAGGUGAGUAUUACCCGUACCGCAAACCGACACAGGUAGUCAAGUAGAAUAUACUAAGGCGCUCGAGUGAUCCGUGGCUAAGGAACUAGGCAAAUUAACCCCGUAACUUCGGGAGAAGGGGUGCCUCCAGCAAUGGAGGCCGCAGAGAAAUGGCGGUGGCGACUGUUUAACAAAAACACAGGGCUUUGCAAAAACGAAAGUUGAAGUAUAAGGCCUGACACCUGCCCGGUGCUGGAAGGUUAAGAGGAGAGGUCAUCGCAAGAGAGGCUUUGAAUCGAAGCCCCAGUAAACGGCGGCCGUAACGAUAACGGUCCUAAGGUAGCGAAAUUCCUUGUCGGGUAAGUUCCGACCUGCACGAAUGGUGUAACGAUCUCCGCUCUGUCUCAGCCACGAGCUCGGUGAAAUUGUGGUAUCAGUGAAGAUGCUGAUUACCCGCAACGGGACGGAAAGACCCCAUGCACCUUUACUAUAGCUUAACAUUGAUUUCGGGUAAGUGAUGUGUAGAAUAGGUAGGAGGCUUUGAAGCAGUGGCGCUAGCCAUUGUGGAGCCGAAAUGUGAAAUACUACCCUUUACUUACUAGAAGUCUAACUCUGCAAAGAGGACAUUGUUUGGUGGGUAGUUUGACUGGGGUGGUCGCCUCCGAAAGGGUAUCGGAGGCUUUCAAAGGUUCGCUCAGUACGCUUGGUAACCGUACGUAGAGUGCAAUAGCAUAAGCGAGCUUGACUGUGAGGCCGACAAGCCAAGCAGGUACGAAAGUAGGAUAUAGUGAUCCGGUGGUUCCGCAUGGAAGGGCCAUCGCUCAUAGGAUAAAAGGUACGCUGGGAUAACAGGCUGAUCCCUCCCAAGAGCUCUUAUCGACGGGGGGGUUUGGCACCUCGAUGUCGGCUCGUCACAUCCUGGGGCUGGAGAAGGUCCCAAGGGUUCGGCUGUUCGCCGAUUAAAGUGGCACGCGAGCUGGGUUCAGAACGUCGUGAGGCAGUUCGGUCCCUAUCUGUUGUGGGCGUUAGAAAAUUGAGGGGCCCUGACUCUAGUACGAGAGGACCGAGUCGGACAAACCGCUAGUGUACCUGUUGUUUCGCCAGAAGCACCGCAGGGUAGCUAUGUUUGGAUGAGAUAAGCGCUGAAAGCAUCUAAGUGCGAAACUCACCUCAAGAUAAGUUUUCUUUAUAAGGAUCGUGGUAGACUACCACGUUGAUAGGCUACAGAUGUAUAGGCAGUAAUGUCAAAGUCGAGUAGUACUAAUUGUCCAAAAAAAAACGAAA